UACGUAGGGGGCUAGCGUUGUCCGGAAUCAUUGGGCGUAAAGCGCGCGUAGGCGGCCCGGUAAGUCCGCUGUGAAAGUCAAAGGCUCAACCUUUGAAUGUCAGCGGAUACUGCCGGGCUAGAGUCCGGAAGAGGCGAGUGGAAUUCCUGGUGUAGCGGUGAAAUGCGCAGAUAUCGGGAGGAACACCAAUGGCGAAGGCAGCUCGCUGGGACGGUACUGACGCUGAGACGCGAAAGCGUGGGGAGCAAACAGG
rnacentral:rRNA from 1 species